CAUCUAUCAUUAUUAUACAAACUAUAACAAAUGUAAAGAUUUUUCCACAGAUUUUACCUGUUAACAUUUUUAGCACAACAGCACCUGAUGUCAGUGAGAUGUCUAUCACUGAGAUGUUACAAAGAUUCCAAUACAGCAAAAAGAGGCGUUCUUGAGAAUCCACUUCAAUUGCUGUAUCAACAUAACAUUUACUAUAAUGGGAUCCAUGUCACUUAAGACAAUGUCUUGGAAAUUAUGUCAAUUAAUUGAUUCCGUAAAAGAAUAUCGGAG
rnacentral:lncRNA from 1 species